rnacentral:rRNA from 1 species
UACGGAGGGUGCGAACGUUAAUCGGAAUCACUGGGCGUAAAGCGCGCGUAGGCGGUCUGUUAAGUGGGAUGUGAGAUCCCCGGGCUUAACCUGGGAAUUGCAUUUCAAACUGGCCGACUAGAGUACGGUAGAGGGAGGUAGAAUUUCCUGUGUAGCGGUGAAAUGCGUAGAUAUAGGAAGGAAUACCAGUGGCGAAGGCGGCCUCCUGGAUCGAUACUGACGCUGAGGCGCGAAAGCGUGGGGAGCAAACAGG